UACAUCGGGUUGUUGAUAGAUGAAGAUGG
rnacentral:piRNA from 1 species